CCAUUGGAGGAUGAGGAGCUAAUUGCAUACUUGCUUCGAGGCCUUGGAACUGAAUAUGAUCCUUUGGUGACAAGUGCCACCACAAGCACUGACAACAUCGGUGUCAGUGAUGUGUACAUGCACAUGCUGAGUUAUGAGC